CAGCCGCCGCGGGAAUACGAAGGGGGCUAGCGUUGCUCGGAAUGACUGGGCGUAAAGGGCGCGUAGGCGGUUUAUACAGUCAGAUGUGAAAUUCCUGGGCUCAACCUGGGGACUGCAUUUGAUACGUAUGGACUUGAGUGGAGAAGAGGGUUGUGGAAUCUCCAGUGUAGAGGUGAAAUUCGUAGAUAUUGGAAAGAACACCGGUGGCGAAGGCGGCAACCUGGUCUUUAACUGACGCUGAGGCGCGAAAGCGUGGGGAGCAAACAGGAUUAGAUACCCCUGUAGUCCCUGUCUCUUAUAC
rnacentral:rRNA from 1 species